rnacentral:lncRNA from 1 species
UCCUUCAAGCAGCAUAUGACCCUACUUAAAGUAGCUGUUAGGAUGGAAGAGAAGGGAACAAUCAUUUCUUGACCAUUGAAUAUAUGCCAGCCACUGUGCUAUGUAUGUACAGUCACAUAUGGAAUUACAGUAUGGAGAAGCUGCAUUCAUGACACUCAGUCUGAACAAAAUUAAGAAGAAAGAGCUGCUACAAUCACAGCAGAUGAAGAUCCACUAGUAAAUUGAUCAAGAUUUUUGGCCAGCCCUCCAAAGAAAAGAUAAGUUGGCCACCUCUGUAACAUCAGAUGAUCCAGAUUAAGAAAAAAAAAACAUGAACAAUAAUUUUAAAAAAUGAAUAAGCCUGCUUUUUCCCCAUCUAAAGAAAGCCUCUCUAAGCAGCUAUGACACGCGUGCCUCAGGAGUGCGGAUAUUACUGCUAUGUGAAACAUGCUGAUUAAAAUCAUUGUUUCUGUCUCAGGCUGCAGAUUUUUCACAUCAGUUUGAAGGAACAGUAAUGCUAAGAACACUUAAUUAAAAGCGCUUGAUGUGGUCUGCUACUGUUUCAAGUACUUCAGGUGCUUUAGUUCAUUAAAUAGCCGUUUAUUUUACCAUCUUUACCCAUCACUUGAGCAAAAGCUUUACGCGCAAUGUGUGUAUUGCGGAAGGGUGCUAAGUUUUGUGGGCCAGUGCUUGAGUGAACAAUAUCUAACAGAAAACAGUAUUUUCUAGGAAUGCUGUACAUUCACCUAAGCCCUAGCUUCUCGCCCUGCCCAGGCAAAGAAAUU